GGGGAAUAUUGCACAAUGGGCGCAAGCCUGAUGCAGCCAUGCCGCGUGUGUGAAGAAGGCCUUCGGGUUGUAAAGCACUUUCAGCGAGGAGGAAGGCGUUAAGGUUAAUAACCUUAGCGAUUGACGUUACUCGCAGAAGAAGCACCGGCUAACUCCGUGCCAGCAGCCGCGGUAAUACGGAGGGUGCAAGCGUUAAUCGGAAUUACUGGGCGUAAAGCGCACGCAGGCGGUUUGUUAAGUCAGAUGUGAAAUCCCCGAACUUAACUUGGGAACUGCAUUUGAAACUGGCAAGCUAGAGUCUUGUAGAGGGGGGUAGAAUUCCAGGUGUAGCGGUGAAAUGCGUAGAGAUCUGGAGGAAUACCGGUGGCGAAGGCGGCCCCCCUGGACAAAGACUGACGCUCAGGUG
rnacentral:rRNA from 1 species